UGAGGAAUAUUGGGCAAUGCCCGCAAGGGUGACCCAGCAACGCCGCGUGGAGGAUGAAUGUCGUAAGAUUGUAAACUCCUGUUAGAGGGGAAGAAUAGUACCGGUUGGACCGGUAUAUGACUGUACCCUCAGAGAAAGCCCCGGCUAUCUACGUGCCAGCAGCCGCAGUAAUACGUAGGGGGCAAGCGUUGUCCGGAUUUACUGGGUGUAAAGGGCGCGCAGGCGGGAUAAAAAGUCAGUGGUGAAAUCCUACAGCUUAACUGUAGAACUGCCUUUGAUACUUUUAUUCUUGAGUUCGGGAGAGAGAGACGGAAUUCCAGGUGUAGUGGUGAAAUACGUAGAUAUCUGGAAGAACACCAGUUGCGAAGGCGGUCUCUUGGUCCGACACUGACGCUGAGGCGCGAAAGCGUGGGGAGCAAACA
rnacentral:rRNA from 1 species